rnacentral:snoRNA from 1 species
UCCUCAGGUAGGAUAAUCCUUACCUGUCCCUCCUUUCGGAGGGCAGAUUGGAACAUGGUGAUUGGAGAUCGCAUGAUUCGUGAUUAAUGUAUACAAGAAGAGUAUAAAUGCAUAAGGUUAGAAGGUAUGUUGACUUACUAAA